rnacentral:rRNA from 1 species
GACGAACGCUGGCGGCGUGCUUAACACAUGCAAGUCGAACGGAAAGGCCCUGCUUUUGUGGGGUGCUCGAGUGGCGAACGGGUGAGUAACACGUGAGUAACCUGCCCUUGACUUUGGGAUAACUUCAGGAAACUGGGGCUAAUACCGGAUAGGAGCUCCUGCUGCAUGGUGGGGGUUGGAAAUUUUGGGCGGUUGGGGAUGGACUCGCGGCUUAUCAGCUUGUUGGUGGGGUAGUGGCUUACCAAGGCUUUGACGGGUAGCCGGCCUGAGAGGGUGACCGGCCACAUUGGGACUGAGAUACGGCCCAGACUCCUACGGGAGGCAGCAGUGGGGAAUAUUGCACAAUGGGCGGAAGCCUGAUGCAGCAACGCCGCGUGCGGGAUGACGGCCUUCGGGUUGUAAACCGCUUUCGCCUGUGACGAAGCGUGAGUGACGGUAAUGGGUAAAGAAGCACCGGCUAACUACGUG